AUGCUGCUGGUGGUUUUCCACUGAGUUCCAGAUUCUCCUGCGUCCGCCCCUGGGCGGAGCUGUCAUCUCCUCACCUGCCCGACUCACCUGGAGUUAAUCCGGAGCAAUCUACUGAGGAUAUUUAAGACCAGCGAGGCCAUCUCUUCACCGCCAGUUUGUCAACAGGUGCUGCUCUGUGCACUUACCUUGUUUCUCAUGUGCUACAGCUCUCUGGUCAUGCUGCUGCUCCCCUCUUCAGCUAAGCUUGCCACUCAGACAGCAGGCCAUCCUCACUGCAGUUUCACACUCUGACUCCUGGGAAGGGUUUCAUUAUCACACCUACCUGCCCUCUUGCCACCGCUUUGCACUGGAUCCCUCGGAACUCAGCUCAGCCCAGCAUCACUCUCUUCAGCUCAUCCAGAACUUUAGAUCUCCACGCCACGACUCACGUCCUGCCACGUUAAAACAACAAGCCACCCAUCCCCCGCCAAGUUCAUCCCCAUGUUUCAAUCUUGUAAACAAAGUUUGUGUGAUGGCUCUUUGCCAUUGUCAAUGUUUUUCUCUUGUGUGCAAAAAGCUUCUUACCUGCUGUUUCUAAAAUGAAACAUUCGGAUUAGAAAUGUUUUGGAUUCUUUGAAGAACCUGAAAGGAGACUGGCAGCGAAAAAGCUGCUUAUAUAUUUUUGAACUCAAGAACAAAUUGCUGUCGUUUUGUGAGGGCAGACAAAAUAAAGAGACCACGCAGAACAUGGUUAAUUUCACUUAAAGUCAUGAAACGGAGAGUUGAUCUAAAAUAAAGUUCACCAAAAGCAAACAAACCAACCACACUGCAAGACAAAAGAAAGGGAAGUGUCCCAUUUAUUUAAAGACAACAAUGACGGUCAAGUGCUAAUGGUAAAGUUUCCUACAGGACCCUCCUCACUCCUCACAGACAUUUAGGAGCAAACGGGCCGAGUUCAAGGGGAUGGCUAAAAAAAAUGCUACCCCCAUGUCAGAUUGAAUGGCUGGUAGUCAACAUAGCUGAGACACGGCCAACUGCAACCAAAUGAUGGUGACACAUUACAAAAAGGCUGACAGAAUGCUGAUCUGACAUGUAAGGAGACAGACUGCUUUCACUCCAGGAUCAGAUUCUAACUCAGGGCUACUUUUAGAUUUCACUGCUCAAGCACUGCCUGCCUGCUUUAUGCCUGCUCAUGCUUCACAGAAGUGCUUCUGUGUCACGCAUUACUGGUCCCAAUAUGGAGGACCAGUACAGUGAUCACAAUGAAUCAAUAAUGAAUGUGCAAUAAAAUGUGCCUUAGUAAAUUCAUAUAUGAAUCUUUUAUUUAUUUAGACAUUGCUAAAGUAAUUUAUUCUUUGAUUAGUUUAAAAUAAAAUUGCUAAUUAUACAUAUUUCAAAAUGAAUUAUUAAUCCAUUACUAAAUAAUUUAAAUUGAAAAUGGAUUCCUCAAUAAAAACUUCAUUUCAGAAACAUUUUUAAAUUACAAAUUACAAAACAAAUCUUCAAAACCUUUUUUUAAAAUAGUUUCAAAAGCAGAAAUAAAUAAAUCGAUUCAAAGAUUUCUGAUAUUUUAAAUGCUAAUUGCAUGUUGUCCCCGUGUUUGUGUUCUCUCCGGGUACUCUGGCUUCCUCCCACAGUCCACAGACAUGCAGUUACUGGGGUUAACUGGUGAUUCUAAAUGGCCAUAGGUGUGAGUGUGAAUGGUUAGCCCUGUAAUAAACUGCUGCCCUGUCCAGGGUGUACCCUGCCUCUAGGACAGCUGGGAUAGGCUCCAGCCCCCCCCCCCCCACGACCCUGAAAA
rnacentral:lncRNA from 1 species